AUUGAACGCUGGCGGCAGGCCUAACACAUGCAAGUCGAGCGGAUGAAGGGAGCUUGCUCCUGGAUUCAGCGGCGGACGGGUGAGUAAUGCCUAGGAAUCUGCCUGGUAGUGGGGGAUAACGUCCGGAAACGGGCGCUAAUACCGCACACGUCCUGAGGGAGAAAGUGGGGGAUCUUCGGACCUCACGCUAUCAGAUGAGCCUAGGUCGGAUUAGCUAGUUGGUGGGGUAAAGGCCUACCAAGGCUACGAUCCGUAACUGGUCUGAGAGGAUGAUCAGUCACACUGGACUUGAGACACGGUCAAGCAUCCUGCGGGAGGCAGCAGUGGGGAAUAUUGGCCAAUGGGAGAAGGCCGGAUCCAGCCAUGCCGCGUGUGUGAAGAAGGUCUUAGGAUUGUAAAGCACUUUAAGUUGGGAGGAAGGUAAGUAAGUUAAUACCUUGCUGUUUUGACGUUACCAACAGAAUAAGCACCGGCUAAAUUCGUG
rnacentral:rRNA from 1 species